GGCGCCGCUCCUGUUAAGACAGUCGCUACCGACCGGAGCUGACUAGGGUCAAUUUAAGUCAUGCAGGUUGUAAGAAAUGCGGGGUUUCGAUUCCUAUGGUCUCGGACCUGGCCCCGAACAACCAGGGUCGUGGUCGGGGCGCCGGUUGGGACCAUCCACACCCACACGCCGGAGCUGUAAGACGCGGCGGCCGAGCCGCAGCAGCUUCAGCAUUUACCCUCCCAUUCCGGGAGAGGAGAGCCCUCUGAGGUGGGCAGGAAAGAAGUUUGAGGAGAUCCCGAUUGCACACAUCAAAGCCUCCUACAACAACACACAGAUCCAGGUGGUCUCUGCCGCCAACCAGCCCCUUGCCCGGACUUCCUGUGGCACGGAGGGAUUUCGGAACGCCAAGAAGGGCACGGGCAUCGCAGCACAGACUGCAGGCCUAGCCGCAGCGGCGAAAGCUGCAGUGAAAGGUGUGACUCACAUCCGCGUUGUGGUGAAAGGCCUGGGGCCAUCAAGGGACUGACCAUGGGGGGACUGGAAGUGAUCUCAAUCACAGACAAUACCCCCAUCCCGCACAAUGGCUGCCGCCCCAGGAGGGCACGGAGGCUAUGAUGAGAAUGAAGCCUGCAUUCGAACAUGACCCCAAGUCUCAACCUCCAGUUGGACCUCCUAAGAAGCUCACUGCACUGCCAUCCACAGAACAGUGCUUGUGGAAGUCCUUCUGGCAGGAAGGGCUAGUGUUGCCACCUUACACAGUGGCCUCUGC